UAUUAAUCUAAUCUAUUUAUAUUUUUAAGAAACGCGGAAACAUCGCUCUAUGAGGGCAUGCAUUUUAGAUUGUGAAACUCUAGUUACUGAAUGCCAGGGCGAUUGUAAAAAUGCCUGUCGGAUUCUUCAUAACAAACGUGGAAAGUCAAAUAAGAACAAAUCCUCUAAUGUAGAAGUAGAUCUGAAAAUUAAGAAAAAAUAAUUCCACA